UUACAUAAAUACUUUUUUACAUCCAUAUUAGUCAAACCAUAAUUUACCUACAUCUUUUACUUUAGGAUAACAAAACUACUUCAAUGAGAUCACUUUUUUUUAAUUAAUUUUUUAAUUUAUUGUGCAUUGCAGAGUUGGAACCUGGCUUUCGAAUGUCCUAAGAGACAAGCACUCUUUGUCGAUACUGACUUCUUACCAGACAGUGUUCGCACAUAAUCCCACAGUGCAUCUCCAUUGGCGAUGGGGAGCGGGUCCGACCGCCCCUCCAGAGGCUUCAGGUCCCUCCUGCCCUGGCCUAGUGGACAUGGGGGACACAGGCCAACGGAGCUCUCGGAUGUGCAAACCCUGACACUCUUUAAACUGAAAGACUUCAUUUCUAACAACAGUAACAACACCACACACGCGUACGCACACACCCCACCCCUAUAGAUUUCAACUACACAGAAAAGAAACAUAACAUCUCUUCCAAACUGAAGGUCAGUUAACUGAAAGCACGGACAUAUUCCAACACAGAAUGUUAACACUGCAAAGCUGACUGGAGGAUGACUACAAACUGUGCUGUGCAAACACAGUCCCAGGGACAGACAGGGAAAGACUGAAAACACUAUGCUGAAAGGGCAUUCCUGCCUCCUGUCAUGUAUCACAGGGCUUCACCAAAGGCUGAAAUGCUGCCAUUUGCUCUUGGACACUUAGCAUCCAUUAACAAGAUGCCCUUGAACAACCGGAAGAAGAAAGCAGGAGGAAGCAACACAGACAAAUCCUCUCCCCGUGUGCUACUUUCAAAAACUGCUUCCAGAGGCUGUUUUUCCAGAGGGGGCCAUGGUGAGGCCCCUUAAAAAAACUCCCACAGGAAGUGAUUGCCACGGCUUCUCAGAGCCCAUGGUGGAUCAAGAGCAGGGAUGGAAUACACUGUGUCUCCCCUUCACUUCCUGGACCCUGGGCUGGCACUUUCCAAAUAAGUUUAACAUGUCUCUUCUGCCUCUUUCACCACUACCAUAAGAAACACUGGCUGGUGCUGUUUACUUGCGUGUGCGUGUGUCAGAGACAACCUGGAGAAGGCAGUUUUCUCUGCAUGAGUCCUGGGGAUGGACUCAGGUGUCAGGCUUGAAAGAAAACACCUUUACCCACUGAGUAAAGUGCUGAUAAAGUACUACUCGGGUGGUAGUGGUGCUGGCAGCUGGGUCAGCACACGCUUUGAUGCCAGCCUUCUGAGGUAGAGGCAGAGGCAGAGGCAGGUGGAUUUCCUGCUUUUGAGGCCAACCUGGUCUACAGAGGGAGUUCAAGGACAGACAGGGGCAACACAGAGAAAUCUUGUCUCGAAAAAAAACCUAAAAAAAAAAAAAAGAAAAGAAAACAAAACAAAACAAAAAGAAAAGUGUAAGAGAGCAACUACGAGGACCCAACAGCCAGAACCAUGCCACUUAACCCAGCAGAGGUCCAGAGUGCAGGUCCUCAGAGGCAGGCUGUCUUACACUCACUUCAUCAUCUGAAGGAUGCCUGCACAGUGUCUUUGUGAAGGAAGGAAGCAAGCAGUGAAGGAACGCCACGUGACUGAGGUGCAACUCAAGCCGGGCAGUCCUGGAUCUGGUGAGACGCUUCCCGGGAAAUGAUUCCAGAAGCAGCACUGUUUUGAUUAACAAGGACAGUCCCGGUCCCGUCUAGACCCGGGCAGGCAAUUGGCACCCUUCUUGCAUCCCACACCAACAGGAUCACCCCUUCACUUUAUUCAGAUCUGUGCUCAAUACUAUCCCAGCAGGAGCUGGAUCAGCAGGGGCUCGGUGGGUAAAGAUACUUGCGCCCUGAUGAUUGGAUUUGAUCCUUGAAAGCCAAGACAUGCAAAUCACCUUGGUGCUCAGUGAUUAAAAGCACACACUGCUCUUCAGAGGGCCUGAGUUUGAUUCCCAGCACCCACAACUACCUGUAACUCCAGCUCUGCGUGACCCAACUCCUCGGACAGCAUCUUCAGGCAUUUGUCCUCACGUGCAUACACCCAAAGUUAAAAAUAACUUUAAAAAAGGAAUCACCUCACAAUAGAUUUUCUCUGAUCACCUAGCUAAAAUUCUAUGGCAGUGGGUAUAAUGGCACACAACUUUAAUUUAGCACUCAGGAGGCUUUAUGUCUAGUGAGUUUGAGAAUAGCCUGGUCUAUAUAGCGAGCUCCAGGACAGCCAAGGCUACAUACAU